GCAAUCACAUGCCCACCAAAUUCUGGAAGUAAAUACUUCAACUAGAAGGGAACAUACUCAAUUGUACUCAUGGCUGUCGUUGACAGCAGCUGCAAGUAUGUGCUUGUUGAUGUGGGGACCGAAGGCCGCGUAAGCGACGGAGAUGUAUUUAAAAACUCGGAAUUUUGCAAGGCCCUUGUGAAAAGAGACCUCGACAUACCCUCGCUUGGCCUGCUCCCAAGGACUACAACAGCUGUGCCCCACAUCCUUGUAGGGGAUGAAGCCUUUCAGUUAAAAAAAGACUUCAUGCGCCCAUUUCCCUCAAAGCACCUUGAAGACGAGAGAAGAGUCUUCAACUACAGGUUGAGCCGAGCAAGACGGUGUGCUGAAAACGUGUUCGGGAUCACAGCAACAAGGUUCCGGAUCCUUCUGCGGACCAUUAUUCUGCUCCCCACUAACGUGGACUUCGUUGUGAAGGCUGCCUGCGUCUUGCACAACUUCUUAACUGUCCUCAAUUC
rnacentral:lncRNA from 1 species